UUCCCAGCCGCAUCACGCGGACCCUCUCUCUCAAUUGGCAAUAAAAAGCUACCGCUUCCGAUCCCUCAAGCCUCAACAGAUUGACCCCUCUCUCUCCCAAACGAAAAGGAACGCCAAUUUUCUCCCCGGUGGCUGAGGGCCAAUCUGGGCGCUCAUCCGGCACGGCGGCUCGUCCGACUCAGCUCCGCAACUCCCCGGGAUUCUCUCGGGAUAUGCCCCCUGGCCUGUGUGGUACUCUGGAUCGUCGAGCCUCGAGACGGCGGCUGCAGUGCCCUGUUACUGCAUACUCAUCUCCCGUCUAUGUCUUUGUUCAGUCCAAGCCUCACUGGUGCGACGCCGGGCAGGGACUCAGAUCGGCCGACAACACGAUCAACUCACGCGUCAGGAGUGUGCCGCUAUCCUGCUGCCUAGGAGCGCCCAACCUCGGCUACCUCCACUACUCCCGUGUCCCAGCCAUGUCAUGUCCCGAAUAACAACAGCUUACAGGAGAUGACAAUCACAGGAAAUUGGCGAUGAGUUACAGCGAGAGAAGGAGAUGGUGAAAGUUCAGAUUUAUUUUAGGUUUUUUUCUUUGAUGAUGAUGAUAAUACAGAGUCCGGUUGCCCCCUUUUUGCAGUACUACACACUCACUUUCAGUGACCUAGAAGAGCACACAAUGCAACGCUUGCACAACACAAGUCUAUCCAAUAGAGUCUCUAAGUGAUGCUGUAGUUUCUAAUCUUUAAUUUAUUUUUGUUCACUGUUCAUGACACACAGGUGGUGCUUGGACAGGGGCAUCAGCUUGACAUGGAUGUUCUUCCAUUUUAUGUUCUGUUGAAUUUAGUAAUCGAUGGUUUUGUGCUCUAUA